GGAAGUAAAAGUCGUAAUAAGGUUUCCGUAGGUGAACCCGCGGAAGGAUCAUUAUUGUAUAACCGAGGUGCGAGGGCUGUCGCUGACCCGAAAGGUCGUGCACGCCCGAGUGCCCUCACACACAUCCAUCUCACCCCUAUGUGCACCACCGCGUGGGUCCCCCUUUGGCUUGUUCGGAGGGGGGCUUACGUUUUCACACAAACUUUGUAUGCAGUGUAGAAUGUAUUUUUUGUUUUUGCGAUCACGCAAUCAAUACAACUUUCAACAACGGAUCUCUUGGCUCUC
rnacentral:misc_RNA from 1 species